rnacentral:lncRNA from 1 species
GUUUUGGUACGCACUUGAAACCAGUCGAUUGACUGCCAUAUUAACAGAGCCGAAAUUUGUCAAAGAUACAUUAUAUUAUAUCCAACAAAUAUAGAGGUUGCCUUCUUCAGCUACAUGUCUGCUUUUUAAGAGAGAUUGUCCACAGAAGAUCAGAAUCAGAUCUAACGGUUACCGUUUCUCCUUUAACAAUGUUUGAAGUACUCACUAAGCCGCCAAAUCUCAUUUCCAUAUUAUCUCUUCCAGAAGGGGUGCCAAUGGGAAUAAGACCACAAUGUGGGCCUUCAACUGAAGACAGGACAUGAAUCUCAUGAUGUCGGGUGCUAGGAAGAAGUUGGAUAAGACAAUCAUCGGACAAAAGAAUAAUCCGUGUUGUUGAAAAGCGGCACAAGGUGUUC